UCAAGCGACUAAGUGUAUGUGGUGGAUGCCUUGGCGAUCACAGGCGAUGAAGGACGUGACAGCCUGCGAAAAGCUGUGGGGAGCUGGCAAAUAAGCUUUGAUCCACAGAUGUCCGAAUGAGGGAACUCACCUGCUUUGCAGGUAUCCCAUCCUGAAUAUAUAGGGAUGGGAGGCGAACGAAGCGAACUGAAACAUCUAAGUAGCUUCAGGAAAAGAAAUCAACCGAGAUUCCGAAAGUAGCGGCGAGCGAAAUCGGAUCAGCCCAGCACUCGAUAGCAGCCAACUUACGGGAACGGUCUGGAAAGUCCGGCCAUAGAGGGUGAUAGCCCCUUACUGGAAAAGGCAGCUGCGGUACUAAGUGUGCGAUAAGUAGAGCGGGACACGUGACAUCCUGCUCGAAGAUGGGGGGACCAUCCUCCAAGGCUAAAUACUCGUGAUCGACCGAUAGCGUACCAGUACUGUGAAGGAAAGGUUAAAAGAACCCCGGGAGGGGAGUGAAAUAGAUCCUGAAACCGCAUACAUACAAACAGUAGGAGCCUCGUUAAGGGGUGACUGCGUACCUUUUGCAUAAUGGGUCAGCGACUUACGUUUAAUGGCGAGCUUAACCGUAUAGGGGAGGCGCAGCGAAAGCGAGUUCGAACAGAGCGUUCAGUCGUUAGGCGUAGACCCGAAACCAGAUGAUCUAUCCAUGGCCAGGUUGAAGGUGUGGUAACACACACUGGAGGACCGAACCGACUAGUGUUGCAAAAUUAGCGGAUGAGCUGUGGAUAGGGGUGAAAGGCUAAACAAAUCUGGAGAUAGCUGGUUCUCCCCGAAAACUAUUGAGGUAGUGCCUCGUGUAUGACUCCAGGGGGUAGAGCACUGUUAUGGCUAGGGGGACAUGGCGUCUUACCAAACCAUGGCAAACUCCGAAUACUUGGAAGUUUGAGCACGGGAGACAGAGCACCGGGUGCUAACGUCCGGACUCAAGAGGGAAACAACCCAGACCGCCGGCUAAGGUCCCUAAUAUUGACUAAGUGGAAAACGAAGUGGAAAGGCUAAGACAGUCAGGAAGUUGGCUUAGAAGCAGCCAUCCUUCAAAGAAAGCGUAAUAGCUCACUGAUCGAGUCUUUCUGCGCGGAAGAUGUAACGGGGCUAAGUCAAUAACCGAAGCCGCGGAUUCACACUUGUGUGUGAGUGGUAGGGGAGCGUUCUGUAAGCCUGCGAAGGUGACUCGUAAGGGUUGCUGGAGGUAUCAGAAGUGCGAAUGCUGACAUGAGUAACGUUAAAGCGGGUGAAAAGCCCGCUCGCCGUAAGCCCAAGGUUUCCUGCUCUACGUUCAUCGGAGCAGGGUGAGUCGGCCCCUAAGGUGAGGCUGAGAAGCGUAACUGAUGGGAACAAGGUUAAUAUUCCUUGACCACCGCUGAAUGCGAAGGGGGGACGGAGUAUUGAAGAUCAUCCGGGUGUUGGAUAUCCCGGUUUGCGAGCGUAGGAGGCUGACAGGCAAAUCCGUCAGCGAAUCUCCGAGGCGAAGCAUCGAGCUCUCUUUUGAGCGAAGUGAUUGGAUGUGCUUCCAGGAAAAGCCUCUAAGCUCCAGUUCAGCGGGACCGUACCGCAAACCGACACUGGUGGGCGAGCUGAAUAUGCUCAGGCGCUUGAGAGAACUCAGGAGAAGGAACUCGGCAAAUUGACACCGUAACUUCGGGAUAAGGUGUGCCUUUGUAGCGUGGAGGGAGAAACACCCCGAGCGCGAAGAGGUCUCAGAUAAUCGGUGGCUGCGACUGUUUAUUAAAAACACAGCACUCUGCAAAGACGAAAGUCGACGUAUAGGGUGUGAUGCCUGCCCGGUGCUGGAAGAUUAAUUGAUGGGGUGCAAGCUCCUGAUCGAAGUCCCAGUAAACGGCGGCCGUAACUAUAACGGUCCUAAGGUAGCGAAAUUCCUUGUCGGGU
rnacentral:rRNA from 1 species